ensembl:lncRNA
GUAAGCUGCAACAAUAACAGAGCAUCUGUCAUCCAUCCAUCAGAACGAAGAUGUCAUCUGUAAUCUACUUCAAGGUUAAAAGGUCUCAUGCACCCAAAAAGAUGUGCUAUCAUGCUACCAUGCCUCUCCAAGGGGAGCAGCUGUUGGUGUGUAGAGGAACGAGAGGAUGACACUGCUGUGUCAGGCAGUACGUAGGACAUCUUCUUGUGAUGCAUCGCAGCUUGCAUUCAGUGGCUCUUCUCUGAGCCUUAACCAUAGAAUGUGAAGAUCUUCUGGGCAGUAGAUGUGACUGACAUUCAUGUGAAAUUAAUCCCCCUGUGCAGGAGGCUCAACACUCUCGGGAGCUGAUGCAGGAUCCACCUUGCACAGCCCUGCUCUCCAUCCCAUCGCCCCAGGAGCCCAUGGGCUGGAGGUGCCCAGGAACUGAGGCUCCUCCACAUCACUGUGCAGCCCAACCCAAAUUGCCAUCUGGAAUAACAAGGUGCAGAUGCCCUGAAGCAGCAAUGGUUUGUUCAGAGCUGGAGGAGGUGGUUACUGGCCUGAAGGUGCUCAGAGGGGCAAUAUUCAUCCUCUCUCUCCUGGGAGAUGUGGGCAGCAGUUUGUCUCUGCCAGCACUUGAAGUCUGAGGACAUUUCUGUAGGAAGUAACAGUAGUAAAACAUCCUCUGUAGCAUGUAAACAGAUUUUCCCUAUUCAGUAUGGUUAAAAAUAAAGAAGGG